rnacentral:misc_RNA from 1 species
GAUGAAGAACGCAGCGAAAUGCGAUAAGUAAUGUGAAUUGCAGAAUUCAGUGAAUCAUCGAGUCUUUGAACGCACAUUGCGCCCCCUGGUAUUCCGGGGGGCAUGCCUGUCCGAGCGUCAUUGCUGCCCUCAAGCACGGCUUGUGUGUUGGGCCCCCGCCCCCCGGUUCCCGGGGGGCGGGCCCGAAAGGCAGCGGCGGCACCGCGUCCGGUCCUCGAGCGUAUGGGGCUUCGUCACCCGCUCCGUAGGCCCGGCCGGCGCCCGCCGGCGACCCCCCCCCAAUCUUUCCAGGUUGACCUCGGAUCAGGUAGGGAUACCCGCUGAACUUAAGCAUAUCAAUAAGCGGAGGA